UUCGGGACACAAGAGAGCUCAACAAAGGGUUAUGGGCCCAGCCAUAACAGCGUUACUGUGAAACUGUGCUAAAGAACAGGAGAUCCAGAAAGUGCAUUACAGCAGCCGAAAGGAGUAAGAAAAGAAUGGCAGCAUUUGGAGGCGCAUCUUUUCCCUUGGAGAGGCUGGGGAGCACCAACUACUCCUACUGGAAGGUAAAGACAGAAAUGCUACUGGUGAAGGAGGGCGUGUGGCACACAGUUGCGGAAGACCCCCCUGCAGCCCCACCGGCAGAGUGGAUAAGGGCGGCAGAGAAAGCUAAAGCUCUGAUUAUCCUAGCUCUGGAAAAUGAACAGUUAAUACAUGUAAGAGGCUUAAACACUGCGAAGGAAGUGUGGAAUGCAUUAAAAACUGUACAUGUGAGAAAAACUGCGGGCUCUAAGGUCCUACUUGCUAAAACACUUUACCAAACACGUUACAAAGAAGGCGAGUCCAUGCAGAGGCAUUUACAGAACUUACAACGUUUGUUUGCCGAACUGCAAGAAAUGAACAUGCAACAUACACAGGAACAGAUGGCAUACAUUACGCUGUCAACUUUAAAUGAUUCCUGGGAUGGAAUAAUAAGCGCGUUAGAAAGUUUGCCAGACGCGGAGCUCAGUGUUAAUUACAUCACAAACAAACUACUGCAAGAAGCAGAACGCCGACAAGAGAAAAGCAAACAGAGCAACAAAGAAAACCCGGAGCGGAAUGAGCAAGGAUCCAUGGCAUAUGGAGUGAGACGCUGCUACACUUGUGGUUCCACAAAUCAUCUACGCAGACAUUGCCAGGCUGAGAAGCAAAGAAGAACACAACAAUGCGAGAAAGACCCAUUUAAAGUGCAUGUCGUAGGAACAAAAGACAAAGACAAUGAACUGAACAGAGCAUCCUGGACUAUUGACUCAGGAGCUAGUCAUUUUUUGGCAAAUAAUGAAAAACAGUUUAAAACCCUGACCCCAACAACGAACCAGAACGUUUACUUGGCGGAUGGAAGCUGUCGCGAAGUAAAAAGGGAUCCAGUGUCUUUGGAGGAUGUGGCUGUGCAGUUCACGGAAGAGGAGUGGGCUUUGCUGAAUCCUGACCAGAGAGCUCUGCAUAGCGAAGUCAUGGAGGGGAUUUGUGGGACUCUGUCCUGUCUUGAAGAUGAUGAAUGGAAAGCCAAGAGGAAGGAAGAACUAUGUGGAAAGGAGAUACAGGAAAGAGGCAGAUCUGAAAACAGGGAAGAGCAGAGGAGGAAACCUGAAGCAGAAGAGAAAAGGAGGAAUAAAUCUUGCGCUUCUCAGGGCAGUGGCUACCAUGAAACUGCCAUCCGAGAAAAAACAGAUCAAGGAAGAAAAAGAAAUAAAUAUUUUCAUUGUUCGAAAAGUCUGAAUUCUAAAAGAAAGUGUAAAAAAGCCCACUACAAAAACCAGAAAAGGGAGAAAGCAUAUCAAUGUUUGGAAUGUGAAAGGAGGUUUAGCUGCAAGGCAAGUCUCAUUUUGCAUCAAAGAAUGCACACCGGUGAGAAACCAUAUAAGUGCUUAGAAUGUGGAAACAGCUUUCGUCUGACUUGCCAUCAAAGAAUUCACACUGGGGAGAAACCAUAUAAGUGGUUGGAAUGUGGAAAGAGCUUCAGGUGGAAACAACAACUCGCUGCCCACCAAAGUAAUCACACUGGGGAGAAACCGUAUAAAUGUUUGGAAUAUGGGAAGAGCUUCUGCUAGAAACACUUACUCACUGCCAACCAAAAUGUUCACACCGGGCAGAAACCAUAUAAGUGCCUAGAAUGUGGAAAGAGCUUCUGUCAGAAAACAAGCACUCACUUUCCAUCAAAAAAUUAACACUGGGGAGAAACCAUAUAAGUGCUUAGAAUGUGGAAAGAGCUUCAGCAGAAAACAAGCACUCACUUUCCAUCAAAAAAUUCACACUGGGGAGAAGCCAUAUAAGUGCUUAGAAUGUGGAAAGAGCUUCAGUUGGAAAGUGCAACUCACUGCCCAUCAAAGAAUUCACACUGGGGAGAAACCAUAUAAGUGCUUAGAAUGUGGAAAGAGCUUCAGCAGGAAACAAGCACUCACUUUCCAUCAAUGAAUUCACACUGGGGAGAAACCAUAUAAGUGCUUAGAAUGUGGAAACAGCUUUCGUCUGACUUGCCAUCAAAGAAUUCACACUGGGGAGAAACCAUAUAAGUGGUUGGAAUGUGGAAAGAGCUUCAGGUGGAAACAACAACUCGCUGCCCACCAAAGUAAUCACACUGGGGAGAAACUGUAUAAAUGUUUGGAAUAUGGGAAGAGCUUCUGCUAGAAACACUUACUCACUGCCAACCAAAAUGUUCACACCGGGCAGAAACCAUAUAAGUGCCUAGAAUGUGGAAAGAGCUUCUGUAGGAAACAGCAACUCACUGCCCAUCAAAGUAAUCACACUGGGGAGAAACCGUAUAAAUCCUUGGAAUGUGGAAAGAGUUUCAGCUGGAAAGAGCAACUCACUCCCCAUCAAAGAAUCCACACCGGAGAGAAAGCAUAUAAGUACUUAGAAUGUGGAAAGAGCUUCAUCGGAAGACACAACUGACUGCCCGUCAAACAAUUCACACUGGGGAGAAAGCAUAUAAGUGCUUAGAAUGUGGAAAGAGCUUUGGUUGGAAAAACAUACUCAUUCUACAUCAAAGAAUUCACACCGGGGAGAAACCAUAUGCAUGCGUAGAAUGUGGAAAGAGCUUCUGUCAGAAGAUACAUCUGACUGCCCAUCAAAGAAUUCAUACUGGGGAGAAACCAUAUAAGUGCUUAGAAUGUGGAAAGAGCUUCAACUGGAAAAACAUACACGCAUCCCAUCAAAGAAUUCACACCGGGGAGAGACCAUAUGAGUGUUUAGCGUGUGGAAAGAGCUUCCGUCAGAAGAUGCAUCUGACUUCCCAUCAAAGUAUUCACUCUGGGGAGAAAGCAUAUAAGUGCUUAGAAUGUGGAAAGAGCUUCGGCUGGAAAAACGUACUCACUUCCCAUCAAAGAAUUCACACCGGGGAGAAACCAUAUGAGUGUUUACAAUGUGGAAAGAGCUUCCGUCAGAAGGCACAUAUGACUUCCCAUCAAACAGUUCACUCUCGGGAGAAGCCAUAUAAAUGGCUGGAAUGUGGAAAGGGCUUCACUAGAAAUUCCUCUCUUACUUUGCAUCAAAGUAUUCACACUGGGGAGAAACCAUAGAACUGCUUGGAAUGUGGAAAGAGCUUCUAGUCCCUUUUGUCAUGAAAGAUUUCAGGAAUGGGGAAACCAUAAUAAGUGUAGAACGGGGUUGCCGACCUGUUGCCUGUGACCUUCAGUCGCAUCCCCCAAUGCCCCUGCACUCUGGGAUGUUUGAGAAGCCAUCCUGGCCUUCCUCUGUGUGAUCUUUUCAGGUGACACUGCCCUCAACCAGAACCCAUCUGCCCUUUCUUUGUAGAGUGAAUUCGGAUUUUCCCAAUCUUGGGAAAAUCCUAAAAUAAAAAUACAGAUGCAAUCCACUGCUCCCUGGUUGGUGCUGCUGGUUGCAUUCUCUUUAGCUGAGGUGGAACCAGAAAGAGCUGUGAACUAUUAAUAUGAAGGGGCCUGAGUUUGUCAUGUCCAUUAAUUUCACUGCAUCUACUCUGAGGUGAAAGUUGGGUGCAACCAACGUAUUAGUUUUACGACUUUUUUGUGCAAAUCUGAUAAAUUGGAAAAACUUGUGUUUUUUAACAAAAUAAAUUCAUGCCCACAAUGGACCUCAGAUUUCUAGAGCUUACGGUGGUCAGGGAAGAAAUACUAAUGAAGGGGAGAGAACAACACUCAGGGUUGAAUACAUCCCAUCAAGCACAACCCACUAAUGUGGAGGGGAAAUGUAUUUUGGACACCUAAGCGCCUGGGCCUUCAACAGGUAGGACAAAAGGGUCUGUUUCUAAAAGGACCAGCAGGUAGCCAAGACAGCUUUCAUUGUUUCAAAGAAGUUAGUUUGUAUGUGGUCUAGAAAAAAGAUAGCCUUGUGCUGAACGCCCCUGUCAUUUCAGGUUUUUAAGUAGCUAAGGAGUAAAGUCACUCCAGCGAGAGAGAGGAGACCAGGCUGCGUCUUGGGAGGGGCCCACACUGCUGAACAGCUGCUGCCACUGCCCCACUCACAGCAAGCAAGCUGACCCUGUAAGGAUGAGCAGAGGAAGAAGGCCUCUCAAACCCACCCACAACAGUGGAGUAGUUGUCAUGGGCUGCGCAGAGUCAUCGUCCCUUUCUUUUUGGGGAUGUGCAUCCUACCCGGGUCCCUCUGUUUCCGCAGCCGACUGCAUGACUUUCAAAAGGCCUCUUUCCCCCUCACUGUUGCCACCUGCACAGAACUGCUUGCGAGUGCCUGUAGCACCAACAGCGGCUGCUCCCCGAGAGAGCAAAGCCUUCCGCCUCCCAGUGCAGCAGCAGCACCUCUGCACACCGGCGUUAUUUCCCCCGCCUCAGCCAGCUUUCCUGUACUGAGCAGGAGGGACGCUGGUAGAGGUUGAAUUGCAUGCAGGGUGGAGGAGGAGGAGGAUAUAUAUACACACACACCUGGAGUGAUUUCUCCUCCUUUGUAAACUCCAGCCAGCAUGUUGGUGGGGAAAGGCAUGACUCGCAGCACAACAACAAUAAUAAUAUUAAUAAUAAUAUUAAUAAGAAAUGCUGUACAGGUUGAAGACCAGCCGUGAGGGCUUUGCUAGUGGAGCUCUCUGAUGUUUGUUUUUCCACAGUGAACUGGGCAGGAGGGGAAAUUGGCAGGAACUAGCGCUGCCUCGCUCCGGAUGGACCUAGGCAGACUGGGGCAAAACCACAUAAAUGCCUGGAAUGUGGAAUGAGCAUCAAUACAAAUUCCUGUCUCACUGCCCAUCAAAAAAUUCACACUGAUAAGAAGUCAUAUGAAAGGAAGGGCCUUAGCUGGAAAAGUAAACUUGCUUCCCAUCAAAGAAUUCACAUUCGGGAGUGACCAUAUAAAGGCUUAUCAUGUGGAAAGAGCUUCAGCUAUAAGGAAAAUCUUGCUGUCCAUCAAAAAUUCACACUGGGGAUAUCAGCACUAUAACACUGCUUGGAAUUUGGAGAAAGCUUCAACUACAAGCACAAGUGGGUGGAGCAGCUGCUUUGCAUGCAGAAGGUUGCAGGUUCAAUCGCCAGUGGCAUCUCCAGGUAGCUCUCGGAGAGACUCCUUGUCUGAAACCGUGGAGAGCUGCUGCCAGCCAGUGCAGACAGCAGUGACCUAGAUGGACCCCAGUGCUCUGACUCGGUAUAGGACAGGAGCUCCCCAUCUUCCUGUUCUCUGCAAGGCCUCUUUCCUCCUUGGCUCCCGCUUUGAGCGAUCAUUAGUCUGCCUGAUUUCAUAAGGGUUAAAAUAAAGGAAACCAGAUUGCUAGGGAGGAAGGAUAGAGGAAGUGGUUGGAGGGGAAUCCAUGCUCUUCAAAGGCAAUGCGGUUCCUCUCCCUCGGAAGUCACUUCCGGCCUGGCUCUUUCCUUGGAGAAAAGCAGCACUGCCCCCCUGUCUCUCCCCCAAGGGCUGCUGCAUCGGUGGCCCCUUCUGGGGUCCGGUAAGCCUCCCCUCCCCCGUUGGGCAUUUGGGCGAAGGGGAGUCCCAGAGCUGCGGGGGAGGAUGCAGAGGAGGAAGUGUAAGAAAGGGGAGGAGGAAAUUAGGAGACUCCUUAUGAUUGCAGCCCCUGUCGGUGAAGGCAGAGAAAAGUCUGGAGCCAUAGCAAGGGAGAACUUCACCCUGUAAGGAGGUGGCCCAUGUUGAGCUGACCCUGUCAGGAUCCCCCAUCACAACAUCCACCAUCAGGGAGCAGAGCUUCCUUCCCCCUCCUCUUGAAAAUGAAUUGUACUUAAUGAGAUAUGCAAAUAAUGGUGGUAGACUGCAGCUGGGUGGAGAGGUGGGGUGUUUUUAUCUGGCUGAGGAAUCUGCUUAACAACCGAUGGGCGAAGAAAAAAAUAGGCAAGGCCUUGGUCCCCUGAGUGAAAUCUUGGGGGCAGGGAUCAUAUUGCAAAUGAAUGCUGUUUGAUGGGAGUAGUUUUGGGUGGGAAGUGGAGCUUUCCUAUACAGAAUCAGUGUGCCAGACCUCAGUGUGUUGAAUGACCAGAACUUGAUUCCUAGAGAGGAAGGGAAUUUGGAGGGGCUCUGUGUACCCCAAAGCCCCUUCCUGCCAGGAUCUUAACUUGAGUGAAAGAAAGUGCUGUUUGCCCCAAGCGUGGCAUCGGUGCCCCCCUCUGAAAUCUCAUGAAUCCCCUUCCCCUUUGUGCAUUUGGCUGAAGGGUUUUCCCAGGGCUGCAGGGGAGGGCUCAUAGGAGACCUGUUCAGCUGAUCCAUCCAAAUCAGGGAGGGGACCCUUUUCCUUUCCUCUCUUGGCAAGGCCAAGACACCCCACAGUGAGUGAGGAGAGUGAAAGCAGAUCUUGAAUGCCCCCGUUACUUACACACUAACUGGUGUUAUCACUUGUCAUGAGCCAGGCUGGCAGAGGGCGGAUAGAGGAGGGCGAAACAUGAUGAGGAACCCGGAGAGGGAGCAAGCAGAGGGGUGGACUCACAGGGCGACUCAACCCCUGUCUUUGACAGCUCAGCCCCAGACUCCCCUAUUGAAGCACCGCCUGGCCCAACUGAACAUGCCCAUGGUGCCCACACCAGACACUCAGCAUUGCACUUCAGAUGUUUCCCAGCUGAGUGCUGCCCAGCUUCCCACAGCCGAACGGACAUCUAGCAGCCCCCUUCAGUCGGAGAGGGAAGCUGAGAUUAAACCACCUUCACCCUGCGCUGGGAGGCGCUUCAGGUGGAAAGUUCAACAGUUAGAACUGAGGCAGAGCCUUUGUUUGCACGUUGAAUCCAGGCCUACUUAAACUGACUUGGGGGGGACCCGGAUGCCGAGUCAAUGUCUUGGAGUCGUGAAGCUGUGCUUAUUUAGCGCUAGAGCAGAGGAAAGUUCUUAGAAAGAGCAGUUAGUUUAAUGAGGUGCACAGCUUCUGUCUAUAGCUUUAAUAACAAGAGAAAGCACCAGAGCCGUGUCUGUCUCUGACACCUUCGAUUUCAGGCAUGACAUCACUCCUACCUCCUUCCUACCCUCCCCCUGAUCUCUGCAAGGCCAAGACACCACUUUAAGUGAGGAGGGAUUGAAAGUAGGUCUCUGAACGCCCCCAUUACUCACGCACUGACUGGUGUCAUCACUCUUCCUGGCUGACACACGUGGGCCCAUCCAGGCUGGCAACUCCUGGGAUGCAGAAGGGAUCUUUCAACAUUGAAUGGAAAGCGCUACUCGAAAAGUGGCAACCUUUGAAUCAAAGGAAUCAACUUCAG